GCUGGGAUAGCUCAGUCAGUAGAGCAUGAGACUCUUAAUCUUAGGAUAAUGGGUUCAAGCCCCAUGUUGGGCA